UACGUAGGGUCCGAGCGUUGUCCGGAGUUACUGGGCGUAAAGCGCGCGCAGGCGGCUCGCUAAGUCUGGCGUGAAAGCCCCCGGCUCAACCGGGGAGGGUCGUCGGAGACUGGCGGGCUUGAGGGCGGUAGGGGCUGGUGGAAUUCCCGGUGUAGUGGUGAAAUGCGUAGAGAUCGGGAGGAACACCCGUGGCGAAGGCGGCCAGCUGGGCCGUCCCUGACGCUGAGGCGCGAAGGCGUGGGGAGCGAACGGG
rnacentral:rRNA from 1 species